UUUCCGCGCUCGAUUGCACGGCCCCCGUUCUUUCCUCUUCCCCAAACCGUGCUCGUGCUCUGCUUCAUUGUUCAGCGGAUCUGGUUCCGUUCAAGCCAUAUUGGAUGGUUCCUGCAACAAACCUGAUAAUUCGCUUGAUGGCUGUCCAGUGCUCAGCAUUUGGUGUUUCCAUAAAUCUACUCACCAUUCCUACUGAGAAGGCAAGAUCAGGUCUUGUGUUAACCAAGUACCUCAAACUACCAACAAGACUUCUGUAUUUUGUUGCAUCCAAAAUCAGCUCAGGCUUCCCAGAUGGAGUUCCCAUCCCUUGAUUUUGCAUCAUACUUGAUAUUGGAGUGUAUGGAGAAGCAGGUUCAUUAGCUUGUCCUGUUCCACUGCUUCGGCCAACUGAAUUUUCUCCUCCUGUACUUUGGUCUGACAGUGUUGGGUUACUAUCAUCCCCAGCUGUUGCCAUGUUUUGGUCAGUUAGAUCAUAGUGAACAAUAAAAGUGUCAUUCUCCUGUUGAUCUGUGCUGCACUUUGAACUGUCCCAGUCCCAAGGUUUCCCUUCUUCAAAUACCACAUCUCUACUAACUACCAGCUUAUUUGUAGCUGGAUCAAAGAACCUGUAUGCUUUAGUUCCUGACUCAUAGCCAAUAAAUACCAUUUUGCUGGAUC